UAUUGAUUGGUGCUUGCAUCAUGAUUUACAUUUGAGUGAGUGGCGAACUGGUGAGUAACACGUGGGAAACCUGCCCAGAAGCGGGGGAUAACACCUGGAAACAGAUGCUAAUACCGCAUAACAACUUGGACCGCAUGGUCCGAGUUUGAAAGAUGGCUUCGGCUAUCACUUUUGGAUGGUCCCGCGGCGUAUUAGCUAGAUGGUGGGGUAACGGCUCACCAUGGCAAUGAUACGUAGCCGACCUGAGAGGGUAAUCGGCCACAUUGGGACUGAGACACGGCCCAAACUCCUACGGGAGGCAGCAGUAGGGAAUCUUCCACAAUGGACGAAAGUCUGAUGGAGCAACGCCGCGUGAGUGAAGAAGGGUUUCGGCUCGUAAAACUCUGUUGUUAAAGAAGAACAUAUCUGAGAGUAACUGUUCAGGUAUUGACGGUAUUUAACCAGAAAGCCACGGCUAACUACGUGCCAGCAGCCGCGGUAAUACGUAGGUGGCAAGCGUUGUCCGGAUUUAUUGGGUGUAAAGCGAGCGCAGGCGGUUUUACAAGUGUGAUGUGAAAGCUUUCUGCUCAACAGAAGAAGUGCAUCGGAAACUGGGAAACUUGAGUGCAGAAGAGGACAGUGGAACUCCAUGUGUAGCGGUGAAAUGUGUAGAUAUAUGGAAGAACACCAGUGGCGAAGGCGGCUGUCUGGUCUGUAACUGACGCUGAGGCUCGAAAGUAUGGGUAGCAAACAGGAUUAGAUACCCUGGUAGUCCAUACCGUAAACGAUGAAUGCUAAGUGUUGGAGGGUUUCCGCCCUUCAGUGCUGCAGCUAACGCAUUAAGCAUUCCGCCUGGGGAGUACGGCCGCAAGGCUGAAACUCAAAGGAAUUGACGGGGGCCCGCACAAGCGGUGGAGCAUGUGGUUUAAUUCGAAGCUACGCGAAGAACCUUACCAGGUCUUGACAUACUAUGCAAAUCUAAGAGAUUAGACGUUCCCUUCGGGGACAUGGAUACAGGUGGUGCAUGGUUGUCGUCAGCUCGUGUCGUGAGAUGUUGGGUUAAGUCCCGCAACGAGCGCAACCCUUAUUAUCAGUUGCCAGCAUUAAGUUGGGCACUCUGGUGAGACUGCCGGUGACAAACCGGAGGAAGGUGGGGAUGACGUCAAAUCAUCAUGCCCCUUAUGACCUGGGCUACACACGUGCUACAAUGGAUGGUACAACGAGUUGCGAACUCGCGAGAGUAAGCUAAUCUCUUAAAGCCAUUCUCAGUUCGGAUUGUAGGCUGCAACUCGCCUACAUGAAGUCGGAAUC
rnacentral:rRNA from 2 species